rnacentral:rRNA from 1 species
UAGCAAUAUUUUCUGGUCGGAGUGGCGCAAGGGUGCGUAACACGUGGGUAAUCUGCCGUGAAGCCUGGGAUAACUCGCUGAAAGGCGAGCUAAUACCGGAUGUGACUGUUGGGAGGCAUUUUCUGACAAUCAAAGCUGGGGACUGUAACAGGCCUGGCCCUUCACGAUGAGCCCGCGGCCUAUCAGCUAGUUGGUGAGGUAACGGCCCACCAAGGCUAAGACGGGUAGCUGGUCUGAGAGGACGACCAGCCACACUGGAACUGAGACACGGUCCAGACACCUACGGGUGGCAGCAGUCGAGAAUUUUUCACAAUGGGCGCAAGCCUGAUGGAGCGACGCCGCGUGGGGGAUGAAGGGUUUCGAUCCGUAAACCCCUGUCAUUUGCGAACAAACCUUAUGCAAUAACACUGCAUGAGCUGAUUGUAGCGGAAGAGGAAGGGACGGCUAACUCUGUGCCAGCAGCCGCGGUAAUACAGAGGUCCCAAGCGUUGUUCGGAUUCACUGGGCGUAAAGGGUGCGUAGGUGGCCGUGGAAGUUCGGUGUGAAAGCUCGGAGCUCAACUCCGAAAAGUCAUUGAAUACUCUACGGCUGGAGGGUCGGAGGGGAGACUGGAAUUCACGGUGUAGCA